GAUUCAAGGUUCAUUCGGAGCAGUCGUUUCAAUUUUUAAAAACCCUCAAUAAUAAAAAAUGAAGGCGAUUUUUGUUCUACUUCUCGUUGUGAUGGUCUUCUCCGCGUAUGGCAAGUUUAUCCAGAUCAUACAGAUUCGUGAUGAAAACGAGCAAGUGAUGAUACCCUUGAAUGGCUUGAAGACCUUGAAUAUGGAAAGCGUCAAAAAUUCAGUUGGCUGUACACAAUUGGAUUGCGACUUAGUUUGCAUGCUGGCGGGUUACAAGCAUGGGAAAUGUGCUUCUGAUACUACAUGCCUGUGUUGGAAUUAAGUUCUAAAAGAAUCUUUUUUUUUUAAUAAUUUCAUUCUCCCAUUGGAAUGAAGUAUUUUAAAAUAUUCAUGUAUUUCUUAUAAUUACUGUUUAUGUCAAAAUUAAGCAUUGUAAAAUAAGAAUGCUUUUUUCUUGUAACUUCAUUCUCCUGUUGAAAUUAAGCAUUUUACAAUAAUAUUCUUUUUAUAAUUACACUUUCCUAUUGGAAUUAAGUACAUUUAAAAUGAUCCAUAUAAUAUAAUCUUAUAUUAUUUCACGUUUCCGUUGUAAUUAAGAAUUUAUUAAAAUC